GUAGGUAUUCAAAUUGAGGACACCAGAGAGGGCAACUCCACAUUUUCCAAGCUGUCUGUCCAGAUACACACAUGAUCUGUACCUUUUAACCCACGUGCCCAGAUGAAGUCACAGAAGAAAAGUAUUGGCUUUCCAAUCACGUCCAAGGAUCAGCAGAAUCUUGUGAGAUGUGCUUGCUGACUAAAGACGUAGCGUGGAAAGGUGUUUUUGCUUUUACCUGGGCUAUCUGUUCUUCUUAUUCUCCUUUGCAACUUAAACAUGUAACACUUGAAACAUCUGUAGGUCUGUAUAUUUUUUGGCCUUAUGUUCUGAGCAGAUCAAUGGGCCAUAUAUGUUAUGUUGCCUUUCUGUUUCUUACAAGUAAAUCUUCGGUCUUGCCUCUGUCUUCUGAAAUAGCCUAUUUCAGGACUACAUAGGAAAAUUCCAGAUAUGAAAGUUAAUUGGCGAUCAUAAUAUGUUUAAACAUGUCUUAUGCCUUUCUUUUGCUAUCUUUUUUUUAAGGUGCUAAGAGAAAUUUUAAAGCUACUAGUGGUCAAAUCUAUUAAUUUUUACUUUGUCGUUUUUUCCCAUCAUAAUUUUAGACUUAAAAGAUUCUCCUCACUCCAGAAUUUUGCUAAAGGCUCAAAUUUGUUAUCUUCUACUAUUUCACUCUUCAGUCUUUCCAAAUUUAGUAUGAUAUCAGGGAAUAAGAUGAGAAGCUAAAUUGAUUUUUUUUGUUCUGAAUUACUAAGCAAUUGUAUCAGCACCAUUCUUAGAAUAUUGGUUCUCUCCUUUAUUGAUUUGUGAGACCUUUUUAUCAGAUAAAAUUCAUAUGAAAUGUGAAAAAGAAUCCAGUUAUGGACAAUCUAUUCUACUGCACCAAUUGUUCUGUCCAUGUCUGUGCCGGUGGCCUUGAAAUAUGCAUCAGUAUACGGGAGGGCUGGCAUUCCUUUCUUUUAAAGAUCUCAUCCAUUCCUGCCAAGUUACUCUUCAGAUGAACUUUAUUUUUUAUCUUUGUUAAUUCUUAAAUGAUAGUCAUGUAAAGAAAACGGAAACGUUAUUGAAGUAUACAUAGGAAAAACUGAAAUUCCAUGUUCCUCCUCACCCUCACUUUUCCACUUCCUCCAUUCCCUAGGUGUAAGCACUGUUAACAUUUCGAUGUGCCCAGAUUGAUGUUCAUACGUUUGGUAGAACCCAAAAAUAUUAUUAGUGAUAUUUUGUUGUUGGAAUUGUGUUAAAGCUUCACAUUAAGAAAAAUUGACAUCUUAUAUUCAAUGUUGCUAUUCAAAAACAUAUUACGUCCUUUUACUUAAGCCUUAUUUUAUAUAUCUCAUCAACACUUCAUAAUUUUAUUUAUGCAG
rnacentral:lncRNA from 1 species